rnacentral:rRNA from 1 species
UACGGAGGAUCCAAGCGUUAUCCGGAUUUAUUGGGUUUAAAGGGUGCGUAGGCGGAAGAUUAAGUCGGUGGUGAAAUUUUGCAGCUCAACUGUAAAAGUGCCAUUGAUACUGGUUUUCUUGAGUAUGGAUGAAGUAGGCGGAAUUUGUGGUGUAGCGGUGAAAUGCAUAGAUAUCACGAGGAACUCCGAUUGCGCAGGCAGCUUACUAAACCAUAACUGACGCUCAGGCACGAAGGCGUGGGGAUCAAACAGGAUUAGAUACCCCCGUAGU